AGUGAACGCUGGCGGCGUGCUUAACACAUGCAAGUCGAACGAGAACGGAUUAUAGCUUGCUAUAAUUGUCAGCUAAGUGGCGCACGGGUGAGUAAUGUAUAGGUAAUAUGCCUCUUACUAAGGGAUAACAAAUGGAAACGUUUGCUAAUACCUUAUACUCCUUAUUAACAGAAGUUAAUAAGGGAAAGAUUUAUUGGUAAGAGAUUAGCCUGUAUUGUAUCAGUUAGUUGGUGGGGUAAUGGCUUACCAAGACUAUGACACAUAACUGGUUUGAGAGGAGGAUCAGUCACACGGGAACUGAGACACGGUCCAGACUCCGACGGGAGGCAGCAGUGGGGAAUAAUGCACAAUGGACGAAAGUCUGAUGCAGCAACGCCGCGUGGAGGAUGACACAUUUCGGUGCGUAAACUCCUUUUAUAUGAGAAGAUAAUGACGGUAUUAUAUGAAUAAGCACCGGCUAACUCCGUGCCAGCCGCCGCAGUAA
rnacentral:rRNA from 1 species